rnacentral:tRNA from 1 species
GUCAGGAUGGCCAAGCGGUCUAAGGUGCCAGACUCAAGUUCUGGUCCACUAAUGUGGGCGUGGGUUCGAAUCCCACUUCUGACA